rnacentral:rRNA from 1 species
UUACUAGAGCAAAGGAUAGACAGCGCCCGCGGAGCUCGCUCCCGGGGCCACCCUACUCCGGUAGGGUUUAGAGUCGUCGGGCCUCUCGGAGAAGCUCGGUCCUGAACUCCACCCUUGAAUAAACUACCUUUGUUGCUUUGGCGGGCCGCCUCGUGCCAGCGGCUUCGGCUGUUGAGUGCCCGCCAGAGGACCACAACUCUUGUUUUUAGUGAUGUCUGAGUACUAUAUAAUAGUUAAAACUUUCAACAACGGAUCUCUUGGUUCUGGCAUCGAUGAAGAACGCAGCGAAAUGCGAUAAGUAAUGUGAAUUGCAGAAUUCAGUGAAUCAUCGAAUCUUUGAACGCACAUUGCGCCCUCUGGUAUUCCGGGGGGCAUGCCUGUUCGAGCGUCAUUAUAACCACUCAAGCUCUCGCUUGGUAUUGGGGUUCGCGGUUUCGCGGCUCCUAAAAUCAGUGGCGGUGCCUAUCGGCUCUACGCGUAGUAAUACUCCUCGCGAUUGAGUCCGGUAGGUCUACUUGCCAGCAACCCCUAAUUUUUUAAGGUUGACCUCGGAUCAGGUAGGGAUACCCGCUGAACUUAAGCAUAUCAAUAAGCGGAGGAAAAGAAACCAACAGGGAUUACCUCAGUAACGGCGAGUGAAGCGGUAACAGCUCAAAUUUGAAAGCUGGCUCUUUUAGGGUCCGCGUUGUAAUUUGUAGAGA